rnacentral:ribozyme from 1 species
GGAGCCUACCUCUACUACUUCUCCCCUCCUCAAACCGGAGGCGGGGGCGGCGCCAUCGCUGCUCUUGAUGCUCUUGGAUCCCCAGUCACUACCGACUCGUGGUUCAAGACCCACAAGGCCAAUG